rnacentral:rRNA from 1 species
GAUGAACGCUGGCGGCGUGCCUAAUACACGCAAGUCGAGCGAACAGACGAGGAGGUUGCUCCUGGGACGUAAGCGGCGGAAGGGGGAGUAACAGGUGGAGAACCGAGCGAUAAAACUGGGAUAAAUUCGGGAAACCGCAGCGGAUACGGGGUAAUAUAUUCAACAGAAUGGUAAAAUAAUGAAAGACGGUUUUGAUAUCACUUAUAGAUGGAUCCGCGCUUCAUUAGCUAUUUGGUAAGGUAACGGCAUACGAAGGCAACGAUGCGUAGCCGACCUGCGAGGGUGAGCGGCCACACUGGCAUUGAGACACGGUCCAGCCUACUGCGAGAGGGAGCCGUAGGGAAUUCUUCGCAGUGGGCGCAAUCCUGACGGAUCAACGCCGCGUGAGUGACGGAUGUCUUCGGAUCGUAUGACUCUGUUAUUAGGGAAGAUCAAAUGUGUAAGUAAAUAUGCACGUCUUGACGGUACCUUAUCAGAAAGCCCCGGCUAACUACGUG